rnacentral:tRNA from 1 species
AGUAGAAUGGCUGAGGUUUAAAAGGUGAUAGACUGUAAAUCUAUUGAGGGGUGUGGUUCUCUUCUACUA